GGUGAGAUGGCCGAGCGGUCUAAGGCGCCAGACUAAGGCUAAGUUGCCAGUCACAUGAUAUGACGUAAUCUGGUCCGAAAGGGCGUGGGUUCGAAUCCCACUCUCAUCA